CACGGGCUGCAUUUAUUUUCCUCAUCCUCCCAUCCCAUGUGCUUCUCCUCGGGAUGAGAAAUCUCGGCAAUAUCCGUGUCAGCUCCAGCUGGAUGCCAAAGCCACCAGCCCAGGGUGGUUCCCAUGCCAGCCCCAACGGGGCUGUAGGAGAAGCAGAGAUGUCUGAUCCAGCUUCUAAAUGCUGAAAAUUUCCUUGGGAUUUAUCCAGCUCAGCAGGUCUGGGCUCCUGGUGCCCAUCUGGAAUGUUCAUGGUGAGAUUGUCCUGCUGCUGCUGUGGAGUUUGGGAUUGCUCCUCAUGAGCCCUGGAAACAAACCCAUCCUCUGCCAAAUCCCACGGGGAAGCAGAGUCCUGGUGUUCCCAUUGCUCUCCGCCAUCCUCACCCCAGCUGGGAGGAGAGACCAAUCCCUGCCCAACCUGGCAGGGCAAAAUUAACAGAGAAUUCAGGUAAAUAAUCCAAUAAAAUCAGCUUUGGAAUGAGCUGAAAAUCA
rnacentral:lncRNA from 1 species